UGUUACCGUGUCUUAUCUCUUUUCUAUGGUCUUGCCGACAUUUCUUGUUUUCUUUUUCAAAUCGUCGCUGAACGCCAUCUUGAUUUGGUGCUUGUUUAUAUGUCUAUAAUAUAGAUAUAAUAUAUAUUAUGCUUACAUUUUUGACGUAGGUAUAAUUGUUUUUUUUUCUUUUCUUUUUUGCUUUUGCAUAGGUAAUACCCACAGUUUUUUUAUACUACCUAUUGGAAUUUAUUGAAGAGAUAAAUAUGGCUCCCAAGAAAUCUGCAUUUUUUGUUUUCAUAACUUGUCAUAGAAAUGAAGAAAUUAAAAAAGGAAAUAAAGCUCCUAGUUUUUUAGAAUUAACUACUAAAUUAUCACCCAUAUGGAAUACAUUGACUGAUGAUGAAAAAGAUAAGUACAAAGUUCUUGCUAAUAAAUAUAAUUCUACUCAAGUACAAAAAAAGCCGUUGAAACACAUUAGUGAUAUGCAGAAUAAUAGCCAUGAUUUUUGGAUUAUGCAGAAAUAUUUAGCCGAGAUGUUUGGACGUAUAUCUGAUAAUGAGGAAUUAUUUAAGAAAAAGUUUAUUUUGUUGCACAUUAAUUGUCAUACUCAUGGCGAAGAACGGUAUUAUUUUCCUGCUGAAAUAGCAGCAUUAGAAUUUAGUUUAAUAGAUGGUAUAUCUCGCACAUAUCAUCAGGUUAUUGGUAUUUCUAAAAUUUACCCAAGAGGUUUUGCUGGAAGUAUGAGACAAUUUUCCGACAGAUUUCAUCGUAUUUUGUGUUUUGAUGAACACCCGGAUGAUUAUCAACAAAUAAUAUUGGAAUUUUCAACAUUUUUAAAUGAUGGAAUAAUCAAUCAUGCAGAUUUAAAAGAGGGCACAUUGGACUUACCAUAUUUAUUCACUAUGGAGUCAGAAAUUGGUACGAAUAUGAUGAACACUAAAAAUAGCUUGGAAAGACUAUACUCCACAGCUUACCCAAGUGUUGAUGAUGAACGUUCUAAGUCAAUAUUCAAAAUAGGAAGUGUUGAAAGAUUAUUAUUUGAAAUAAAAAAAAAAAUAAAUCUUAACUUGGAUACACAAAAUUUAAGAUCAGGAAACUCAGUUAAUGAUAUUUUAGAAUCUGAUAUGUAUGGAUAUGGUCUGGGUUGUAAGUACCACGAGUUAAGAGAUAUUUCAUACAUGUGUUCCAAAGCUCGUAUUAUUCAAUGGAUGUCAAAUAUCUGUAAGCAUAUAAGUGAGAAUACUGGUUUAAGGCUUAAACCUGGUAGACACACAGCAGUUCAAUUAAGAAAUGGUUCAAAAUUGAUAAUUGAAAAUGAACAUUUGCCACUAUCAAAAGAAGAUCUAAAUAUUGGCUAAAUAGACAUAACUAUUUCCAUUGAUGAUACAUUGCUUUACUCAAAAAAUCAUUUAUUCUUUCACAAACACAUCUAGGACCAAUUACUCCAUAUAUUGGUGUGGUGCCAUUAUUAGCUACAUAGGUAGUGAAGAUGGGUACUGUAGAAUAUGAAGCCCAUUGUGAUUCUAAGUUUUUGGAAUCUGAUGCUGAUGAGGAUGGUUAUGUCUCAGGACUAUAAUUCCUAUAUUACUACAAAUAUGGAGUGUUUGUGAUAUUAAUAGACAAAUGAAGUUGGAUAAGGAGCAGUUUAGUCCUGCAAUGUGAUUAGUAUAAAGUAAACUCAAAAGGGGAUUGAACCACUAGAUACACUUUCAGCUGAAAUGAUACCUCCUCCUAGCAACAGAACUUUAAUUUCUUAUAAAACAUGUUUAAUACUUAGAGAAAAUAAUCUAUUAACUGUAUAUCUAUUUUAUAUUAUUAUCUCUUUUUAGGUUAAGGAAUUGCUAUACCAGUAAAAUUAUUGACUUUCUUUUACUUUCCCCUAUUAUAUUCUUACAUAUGGCUACAACCAUGCGGCCAUGCUUUAAAUAAUCUUUUUUUUAUAGUAAAUCGUAAAUAAACUGUUAGUGUUAAGCUAAAUUAUUUGUAUUAGAUUACCCCACUUCAUCAAAUACAAACAUUUAUAAACAAGUUCUAUACUAGCUAAUAUUACUAAUUUAUUAUAAUUUUAAUUUAGAAUUAAGUAGAUAUCAAUUAAAUUAAAACAUUUAGGUUGCACAUAAUCAGUGGCUCAACCAGGAUUUUUUCAAGGGGGUGUCCACCGGUAGCGUAUACAGUAGUUCCCCAAAUUUUAGAUGACUACUAUUUAAUAUUCAUUGAAAAAUGUAUACCCUAUAUAUUUAUAUAAAAAUCACAUAUCAUUUUGGUAGUUGUCAAAUGUUAAGGUAUUUUACAAAAAUAUUAUACAUAUUAGUCAUAUUACAAUAUUACAAAUUUUAAAUUACAAAAUCUAAUCGUCUUUUUCUCUUAGUUUACUCUUUUAUGACGUCAUCUGUAUCAACUUUGUUUUUGUGGUGAAUAUCCAAUGCUGCUAAUCCAUUUAGUCUAUUAUCUGCUAUUGAGUUUCUGAGGUAUGUUUUGAUUCUUUAUAAAGUUGAAAAUUACCUCUCAGCUCCACAAGAUGUCACAAGAAUUGUCAGUAGCUUAUAAACGUUGGGAUAUAGAUUUUUAUUACAAUUACUGAUUACUUCAAUAACAGUAACCAUUUUUAAGUUGGUUUUCAGCUAUAGCUUAAAAACUUGAUGAUGUCAAAUUUUUACUUCAGAUAACAUUUUUAAUAAAUCUUCCAAAUCGUUUGCAUAAAAUUCCACCAAAUAGUUGAAUAAUAUUUCUUGUUUUUCAGUAAGAAGAGCAAUUGGAAAAAGCAUUUGAAAUCCUCGAAUAAUUUCUUUAUGUUUAAUAAAUCUUUCAUUUAACUGACUUAUAAAUGAAUCUAAAAAAGGUAUAAAUAAAGAAACUUAAAAAUAAUCUUGGGCAUUAUUAUUACUGGGAGUAUCCUAUAAGUGUCUUUUUGUAAUUCUAGGCAUUUUUUAUCUCAAAACCUUAAAUCAUUUGGUUUACUUUGAAAAUUCGGUAGUAGGUCACAGCCCCAUCACCGUUUCCCCGUUCGGUUAAUUUCCCCGUCAGACAUAUCCCCGUUCAAUUCACUUUAAUUGAAAUAGCUGAUCGAGUUUCACUUCUAUAUUGUUCUUUGGUUGUAGCCUGUUGGUGGAGCCUUUUCUUUAAACAUGAACGAUAUAUUACAAUAGGAACCAAAAAAAACUGGAACAGUAUUUCAUAGGAAAAUUCAUAUGCAGGAAAUUAAAUUAUUCUAUAAUAUAUAUAUAUAUAUAGUAACAGAGCUUGGCAAAAUCUUUAAAAAAAUGAUUUGAAAUCAAACCCAACUUUGUAUAUACAUAGAUUUAUUAAUUUAUCAGUUUAGUGUUUACUUUACACUUUUUCAGUAAAUAUAAUAAUAUUAUUACAUCACGUUAUACAUUAUCAAUUAUUAUCAUUACACACCACCGGCUAUGAUUAUUGGUAAAAUAAGUCGGGAAAAUUAGUCUAACGGGGAUGUGACCAUAUACCGAAAAUUCUUCGUCAGCGUUAUUCCUAACUGAAUGUAUUUAACGUACAACAUUAUUAACGUACCCGAGAGCUUGAAUAAGAUCUAUAUUAGGUUUUUGUAAAUAUAUGCAUAACGAUACUGUGUACUGAAAUAUAUAUUUUUAAUACAAUAAUACCAACAUUAAAUUCACAUUAUUUGGAGACAAUAAUAACAUAUGAAAUUAGUUGAUGUUUCGAUGUAUGUCCAUUGUCCAUUGUCCAAGUUGUCCAACUAAUCAUCUCUUCUAACCACGAAUGUACAGCCGGAAUAAAUUGGUCAAACACUUCUACUGAGUCGUGCCUUUCAACCCAUCUUGUCGAACACAAUCGCUUUAGUUUUUCUUUAUGAGUGUUCUUGAUUCAAUUCCCUGACAUAUUUUGAAAAUUCUGCUUGCCUCUUUAGAGUAUUUAAAAAUACGAAAACCUUUUCGAUUGUGCCCAUAGUAUUUCGAAACCUUGUAAAUCACAAGCAUAAGAAACAGCCAAAUUUAAAAUUUGUAAACUGCAAUGGUUAUAUAUAGCUUUUAUGUAUAGCUGUUUUAUAUUCUUUUUUUUAUGCAUGACUGAAUCAUCCACUCAUCGAUGCAGCUCCGUCGUAACCUUGUCCUCGAGAUAUUGCAUAUACAUUUUCAUGUCGGUUAGUUCUUUAAUAAUUGUACUUGCAAAUGCGAUUCCACUUAGUCCAUGACAGGUACAAAUUUUAAAAAUUCCUCUUUUACUAUUUUUGUUUUAAAAUCAAAGUAACGGACACAAAGUGAGACGUGCUCAAUACCUGCCAGCCAUAUCUGCCGUUUCGUCUGCUAUUACCGAAAAGCAUUUACUAUUAUUGACUUCAUUACUGAUUAUAGAAAAAAUAAUUUUAUGACAAGAACUGAUAAUUUCGUUUUGCAGAUUUUCCAGAUUGUAUACAGUUCAUUUUUUCACAAUUUGUUUUAGCUAAUUGGUAAGAUUCAUCACCAGAUAGUUAUGCUGAAUUUAUAUGAAAUCGCGUUAAAGCUCUAAAGUUACCGUCAUUUUCUACCAGAUUUUCUGUCGUCAAUGUUCCAAAAUCACGACGUCCCCGUCAUUUUUUUGCGGACAACUAGUUUUUUAGCAAAUUAAAAAAUCAUUUACUUUACUUUUUAUUAUAUCAUUAUUUGCGGAUAAUUUGCGUAAUUUUUAAUUUUUGAGGACAAAUAGUUUUUUAGAAAAUAAAAAAAUGGUUGGCUUGCUGGUAAAAUGUCGCAAAUUUUAAAAAACACUUAAUUUUUUAGUAGACUAUAAUUUUGCAGACUAAUUUUCAUUUAAUAAAUAUUUAAAUUAACCAUAUCAAAAUUAUUUUAUAUAUCUACAAAUCAAUCUACAUAUUUUUCUCAGAAUAAAUACAUCUACUGUGGAUAGUAAAAUAUAAAUUUUAUCAAUUAAUUACUUAUAUUAUAUACCUUCAUAUAAUAGAUUUUAAUAAAAUAACAACUAAAUGUAUACCUAUACAAUAGAUUUCAAGAAAAAUGUUUUUAAUGAAUUGAAAUGUUGUAAAAUAAGUAUUAUCAAUUAUGUUAAUAGUUUUUUAAAUAAUAAAUAUCUUAUGUUAAAUAAAUCGCCUUAAGUAUAA